GGGCUCCCUCAGGCGGGCGGGGGCUGCGGCGGUGCCGCCCGCGGCCGGUUUCUGUGUGCGGCUGCAGCUGGAAUCGUAGAACCGUGGAAUUAUAGCGUUAUAGAACCAUAGAAUUAGAGAAUCACAGAAUUGUAGAACCAUCAAGGUUGGAAGAGGCCUUUAAGAUCGUCCAGUCCAGCCGUCCACCCACUAACCACUAACCACUGAACCACAUCACCCGGCGCCAGACCCAGGCGCUUCUUAAACACCUCCAGGGAUGGUGAUUCCACCACUUCCCUGGGCAACCUGGCGCCGCACCGGUUCCCUCCACAUAGAGCAGCCGCACAGAAUUACUGAAUCACAAAAUCAAUUAGGUUGGAAAAGACCUCUGAGAUUACUGAGUCCAAGCUCCGACCAACCACUCUGCCAUGUCAACUAUGUCACCAUGUCAUGGCAAGAAGCACCAUGUCUGGUCUUUGGAGAGAUGUUGCAACAUGGCUCUGUCACCAGCAGAACUCUGAGCAGGGCAGUGCUGGGGAGAGCCAAGCUCUGUAUGAGCGACAGAAAACAGAGGCUGGAAAGGGAAAAAAUCCACAUCUGUGAGGUGUUCAGAGAUGUCAGGGAGCUGCCAGUGUUUGCUAAAGUUCCUGUGAUCCUCAUUGCCUGCGUGUCUCUUAGAGCUGGAAGCCGGCGAGUGGGAUUAGAGCACAUGGCAGCCCACGGCUCUUGGUGUCAUCCCCAGGGAUGGAGUCUCUCACAACCUCUCCAUCGCAGUUUACGGAAACAAAGUCUGCACAGUAGUUUUUUUAGGCUUAGUUUAUUACAAGUUUUACUAAUUUAUUACAGUGGAUCUAAUUUUAAUCAGUCAAAACUUACUAACUGUGUCUAGACAAAAAUCAUCAGGUGAACCAUUCUGAUUGAGAUUUCCAAGAGUCUCAUGACUUUAUAACUGUGCCUCUUACAUCCAGGCAUGAACUUUCAGAUUGGAACAAAGUACAGACUCGCAGCUUGGCUAAAGUCAGUCAGUUUCCUAACAGAAAUCAUGACUUGUACUGGAAAUUUUUCAAACACGCUUGAAGUUAAUUAAAAAAA